rfam:Gossypium arboreum cultivar AKA8401 contig_14273_9, whole genome shotgun sequence.
AUCCCAUGAUGAGGGCACUUAUGAAGUAAUUCUUUAAAUCUCUCUCAUGCCUCGUACAAGGAUUCGUCAUCCAAUUGUUGGAAAAUGGUUAUCUCAUUUUGCAACU